GAGAAAAACAGCGAUGUGACUGACUUUCUUGAAAUGCGAAUCUCCCGAGAUUUCACGGUCAUAUGACGUUAUUUCUAUUUUUAGUAACAAACCAUGUGCUCAAGUGUUUUCAAAUUCAGAAUGACAUUUCCCGGUAUUUUAAUUAUUCUGGCUUAUUUUGUAAACAAAUUGUAGUGUCAAUACAAAGUCAAAGUAAAUAUUAUAUAAAACUACCUGAUUCACAAUGAAAUCAUUCUUAAUAAUCCACCAGACGUAAGUUGUUAAUCACAAAUAAUAGAUUUCAGAAAACGAAAGUAAUGUUUACAAUUUCAGCAUAAAAUGUCAAGGUCGAUCCGAAAGUAUCCAAAUAAAAACUCGUCACGUGACAAAGCGACAAUGGCGUCAAAAUUGUGAAUUUCAGACUGAUGAGAGUUAUUUUCGUCUAUUGUGCCCAAGACAGGAGAAAAGUGAACCGUAUUGCUGGGGACUCCAAUGCUCAUCGGAUUAAGGAUAUUCUUCCUGACGAUAUAGCUGUCAAAUGCCUGCCAAUCUCUGACAUUCGCUAACUCUGUUUUCAAAGGUGCCAAAUUUUCUUGUGAUCGUUUUCGCCAUGCAUUGUUGAGAGACUUGCGGAAGAUGGAUGUUCAACAGCUGUAUCUUCAUCUAGGCUCAAAUGACAUUCUUACGAAUGAAGCGGUGUUUUACCGGAGGCGCACAAUCGGUGUCCAGAAUGCAGGGUUGUUUGCUCCAACGAUGACGCUUUGCUGAGCCACUUCUGCAGUCGCCAUAUCAAGCAACCAGAGACUGGAAAAGAGAGUAAAAUUAAGCUGAUAGGCUCACCAAUGGUAUAACUUUAAAUCACUAACUUGUGUAUGCUUGACAAGCAUUUUAUGUACAAAUAAAGUAACAAAAAAGGAGGUCAACACAUUCACUUUCCCAUAUAAUGCUUUCUGUAUCUUUUAGCAACUAAUGACACGAUUUUGUGUUGACAUACUCA